rnacentral:rRNA from 1 species
CGCGUAGGCGGCCAACUUUGUCAGGCGUGAAAGCCCUGGGCUCAACCCAGGAAUUGCGCUUGGGACGGGUUGGCUUGAGCUCGGGAGAGGAGAGUGGAAUUCCCAGUGUAGAGGUGAAAUUCGUAGAUAUUGGGAAGAACACCGGUGGCGAAGGCGGCUCUCUGGACCGAUACUGACGCUGAGGCGCGAAAGCGUGGGGAGCAAACAGGAUUAGAUACCCUGGUAGUCCACGCCGUAAACGAUGUGUGCUAGACGUUGGGGAGCCUAGCUCUUCGGUGUCGCAGCUAACGCGGUAAGCACACCGCCUGGGGAGUACGGCCGCAAGGUUAAA